ensembl:snRNA U2 U2 spliceosomal RNA
AUCGCUUCUCGGCCUUUUGGCUAAGAUCAAGUGUAGUAUCUGUUCUUAUCAGUUUAAUAUCUGAUACGUCCCCUACCCGGGGACCAUAUAUUAAAUUUCUUUUUGGCUCAGGGAGCUGGAGUAGGGGCUUACUCCAUCCGCUCCACGCAUCGACCUGGUAUUGCAGUGCUUCCCGGAACGGUGCGACACUU